AUUAGCAACAGAAAAGGUCGA
rnacentral:piRNA from 1 species